GGUAUUUUGACUAUACGAAGGUAUUGAAAUAAGGCUUUAAAUGGGCGCUAAGAGAAUGAUUUAACGAUUAUAAUCUUUCUUUAUUUAAAAAAUUGAAUUUAAUUUUUUUGUGAAGAAGCAAACAUUGAUUUUAGGGACAAGAAGACCCUAUGAAUUUUUAAAUUUAAUUUAUAUUUUUUAAUAUAUAUUAAAUUUGGUUGGGGUGACAGAAAAAGAAUAAGUAUCUUUAUUUUAAAUAAAUAAGUUCCGUUAUUAACGAUUAAAUGAGAAAAAUACUCUAGGGAUAACAGCGUAAUAAUUUUGGAGAGUUCUUAUUGAUAAAAUAGUUUGCGACCUCGAUGUUGGAUUAGGAUUCUUUUUU
rnacentral:rRNA from 1 species